UACGGAGGGUGCGAGCGUUGUCCGGAAUCACUGGGCGUAAAGGGCGCGUAGGCGGUCUGCUAAGCGUGCGGUGAAAGCCUGGGGCUCAACCCCAGGUCUGCCGUGCGAACUGGUGGACUUGAGCACUGUAGAGGCAGGUGGAAUUCCGGGUGUAGCGGUGGAAUGCGUAGAGAUCCGGAAGAACACCGGUGGCGAAGGCGGCCUGCUGGGCAGUUGCUGACGCUGAUGCGCGACAGCGUGGGGAGCAAACAGG
rnacentral:rRNA from 1 species